rnacentral:rRNA from 1 species
GCACCAGUGGGGAAUAUUGGGCAAUGGAGGAAACUCUGACCCAGCGACGCCGCGUGCGGGAUGAAGGCCUUCGGGUUGUAAACCGCUUUCAGUAGGGAAGAAGCGAAAGUGACGGUACCUACAAAAGAAGCACCGGCUAACUAUGUGCCAGCAGCCGCGGUAAUACAUAGGGUGCAAGCGUUGUCCGGAAUUAUUGGGCGUAAAGAGCUCGUAGGUCGUUUGUUACGUCGGAUGUGAAAACCUGAGGCUCAACCUCAGGCCUGCAUUCGAUACGGGCAAACUAGAGUUUGGUAGGGGAGACUGGAAUUCCUGGUGUAGCGGUGGAAUGCGCAGAUAUCAGGAGGAACACCAAUGGCGAAGGCAGGUCUCUGGGCCAAUACUGACACUGAGGAGCGAAAGUCUGGGGAGCAAACAGGAUUAGAUACCC